rnacentral:rRNA from 1 species
UGGGGACUAUUGCACAAUGGAGGGAACUCUGAUGCAGCGACGCCGCGUGAACGAAGAAGGCUUUCGAGUCGUAAAGUUCUUUUAUAUGGGAAGAUAAUGACGGUACCAUAAGAAGAAGCCCCGGCUAACUACGUGCCAGCAGCCGCGGUAAUACGUAGGGGGCUAGCGUUGUCCGGAAUCACUGGGCGUAAAGGGUUCGCAGGCGGAAAUGCAAGUCAGGUGUAAAAGGCAGUAGCUUAACUACUGUAAGCAUUUGAAACUGCAUAUCUUGAGAAGAGUAGAGGUAAGUGGAAUUUUUAGUGUAGCGGUGAAAUGCGUAGAUAUUAAAAAGAAUACCGGUGGCGAAGGCGACUUACUGGGCUCAUUCUGACGCUGAGGAACGAAAGCGUGGGUAGCAAACAGG